UCAGUUGUGAUACUAAAUUAUGGCUCUUUAUCUCUUUUCAGAUAUACGUAAAAGUCCCCAUAGCACUUUUCACAUGAAAUCAGGGAGCUUCUCCUGGAUUCAUUUGGACAUGUCUUGUGAGACUUUUUCUUGCUUGGAGAAUUUUCUUAAAAUGAAAGGAGGCAGUAAGGAUCUUUCCCUCAUGUUGGCUCCCCAAUCAUUUAUUUGCUUUACAAGAUGGUGCAACCCAACAAGACAAGUAUACAGUGCCAGAGGACACUCAACGCCUCCUACAAAUUGAUAUCACCAAAACACCUUCCUUAGGGUUAUGAGUGAGGAAGUGGUAGCUAUCUACCCUGUAAGACCAUUGCUGUUGUAAAAUCUUCACACUUUAUCAAGAAACAGGCUAAUACUUAGAAAACCACAACGACAGUAGUUAGUUCUUUAGAAUCUUGGUCUUCUCAGUCAGAUUGGCAAAUUAUUGAUGCCCUUUUCACUAGGGUAACCCAGUCCAUUAGAUUUGACUGAAGAACUAGAUAAUUGAAGUGAGCAAAACACUACUUGUCACUAGAUAAUUGGAUUUUCAUGAGUAUUUUGAGCAACAAGUUCUUCUUCCAUAGGCAGCCCCUUGGGAUUAAGGAUAGCUUUCACUCAUUCUAGUUUGAUAGAUUAUGAGAUGACUAAUACAUACUGGAAAACCAACUGGAAAGGAACAAUGUUUAUUGUUGAACACCAAAAUAGAACCAAUCUCCUGGCAUACACACAAUAGUACCAGCCUCAGACAGUUUAUUCUAUAUGCGAGUCGACCCUAUAGAUAUUUUCCUUAUCAACCUGUUCAAAGAUGUUAUUACACACCUCUGCAGCUGGUGGCACUAUAACCAGGCCUCCUAGUGCAGGAGUAGGAGGCCUACUACUGCAUCACCAUAGGGUCCCUUGGUCUGCUUCUUCUUUUUAUCACUAACCUAUUUUUCAAACAAUUUGUUUAGAAACAUUAUUACACAUGCCUGGAGCAGGAGACAGUGAGGACUACAGAUGCUGGAGAUCAGUCGAGAUUGUGGUGCUGGAAAAGCACAGCAGUAGGAUUACGGUUUGCCAAAUUCCAAUCUGUGAGAACCAUUCCAGAAUCUAUAGAAUUCUGAAGGAUGACCACCAUUGUACCUAUUAUUUCUAGGUAUCUUUUCUAACAGCCUGCAAGCAUUGUUGCAGAGUCCAAUAUUACAUAUUCUCAUUGUGAUACAUUCUCCAGUGAGGAGGAGAGGUGAAGAAGAGAUGGAAGAAGCCAGCAGAGCAAGAGCAGGGGUCACAGAAAUUGGAUGAAAGAAGCCAACAAUCUGAGGAGUGAGGAGUCUCCCAGGGAAGAUGGCUGCAGCAGGCAGAGAUGAAGUUAGAGGCCAUACCUUAUCAAUCAUGUGGAUAUGACAAACCUGCAAAUCACUUACAGUGCUUCACGGGACCGUGCCUUUCAUGAGUCAUAAUAAUAUCCUUGUGUGGUACAAUUGUCCCAGAGAUACCAUCUAACUGUUUGGGGGCCAUCCUUUAUCUGCAGCAUUCAAAGCCAUAAUGACAUUCACCCUUCUGUAUCAGGGUCAUUUGAGGCUUCCUGGUUGACAUUAUCCAGCAUUCAGCACCUCUCUGUGUUACAGUAUUUACAUGAUACUAUCUUUCACUGUGUUCAGCAGUUCAUUGCAUUCAGCACUGACAACAUGAGCCAAGUAGAAUCAACCAGAAUCUUUGCUGCCAUAAUAGGUUUUCCAAGGGGGCAAUAUAUAAUGUUGCUGGUUGUAGAAUAUAUUUGGAAUGAUUGAGUGGUGCUCACUAUGAGCUGCAGUCCCUUAUUCCCCUUGUCCUCAAUGCCUUUGAUGGCUGUCCCUGGUUACUUGCUGCAAGGCCCAGCUUGGGAAUCUCAAUCCAUUCAGCUAAGCUGACUCUGCCUGAUCAUAUUAUGUAUUUCUAAAUG